rnacentral:tRNA from 1 species
AGGGGCUUAGGAUAGCAUGAGUCCAAGAGCCUUCAAAGCCCUAAGCGGGUGUGAAAAUCCCCCAGCCCCUG